rnacentral:rRNA from 1 species
CCUACGGGGGGCAGCAGUGGGGAAUAUUGCGCAAUGGGCGAAAGCCUGACGCAGCGACGCCGCGUGAGGGAUGAAGGUCUUCGGAUCGUAAACCUCUGUCAGCAGGGAAGAACGGUCACUUUGCUAAUCAUCAGUGAAUUGACGGUACCUGCAAAGGAAGCACCGGCUAAAUCCGUGCCAGCAGCCGCGGUAAUACGGAGGGUGCGAGCGUUAAUCGGAAUUACUGGGCGUAAAGCGCUCGUAGGCGGUAUGUCAAGUCAAGGGUGAAAUCCCCGCGCUCAACGUGGGAACUGCCUUUGAAACUGGCAAACUGGAGUGUGUGAGAGGAUAGUGGAAUUCCAGGUGUAGGAGUGAAAUCCGUAGAUAUCUGGAGGAACAUCAGUGGCGAAGGCGACUAUCUGGAACAUAACUGACGCUGAGGAGCGAAAGCGUGGGUAGCAAACAGGAUUAGAUACCCGAGUAGUC